GGGCCCGCGCGCGGGGCGGGGGGCGGGCGCCCGGCACCGGGCUGCCCUGCGGGGCGUCCCCGCCCCCGCCCCCGCCCGGGGCAGUCUCGCCGGGACGCGCCUCCCAGCCACGCGGGCUCUGCUGCCGGGUUCCGGGCAGCCCGGAGUCCCCUGGCGCAUGCACGCAGACAUUCGUCCCAUAACCAUGCAUUGGGCACCUACUACGUGCCCGGCCCUGAGUGAUUUCAUACCUAGGAAUGUCAAGCAGUCGGCUCAACAAACCUGUGGAAUGAGGAGUCGUCUUGUCCAGAGGGUCCUGCUGUCCAGUGCUCAUCCCCGUCCACUACGCCACUGCUGUGGACACCGCUGGAGAGUGGCCUCGGGGGAACUACGACUGAGCCAGGGAGACCCAGGAACAGGACCCGCCCCACGCCCUGCCCCGCCCCGCACCAACCUCCGGUCGCCCAAAAAACCUGGAGCUGCGGCGCCCAGCAGGCACCAUGGGACCGACGGGGAGCGCACUGGGCAUGCUCGGAACCCAGUUGGGCCUGAGCGCCCGGGAGGAGGAGCCUCCUGGCGGGGCAGGGGACGGCCCAGUGCUCAGCCCCUCUCCGUUCCCACCCACUCUUAGCUGAGGGUGUGGUGGUGUCGGGACAUUUUUUUCAAAGCUCAGUGGGAAAGCUGGGAAUGUAUGGUCUGUGAAAGACGUUCUCUGUCCUCUCCCAGCCGCUGUGUGAUCUGGUGCAUGCUCCUUACCCUCUCUGUGCCUCAAACAAUACGAGUAUCUACCUUCUGGAUCUGGCCUGCGCGUGGGAUUGAAUGAAAUUAAGAACGUGAGCAUGGUUAGCCCACUUUAAAGAUCCAUUUCUUGAGUGCCUACCUCAAUUAUCCCUCAUCCUCAGACCAGUUUGCCAAAUGCUGAGAUGAGAACAAAACUGCACUAGUGGACAUGGGAUUUCUUGGAGGCAUCUUAACUUGCCUUCCACAAGAAAUUAGGCUGAAACUACCUUUUCUUUCCCCACAGUCAACAGCCAUUAGUUUAAAGGAUGUUCUCAAAUUCGAGCUAAAAAAUGUACGUUCACCUAAGGAAAAACCCAAAAUAUUUAUAAAAUCGUGCGUUUCCAAUCGCCACAACGGAAACAGGAACCAAGGGAAAGAAUAUCCCUCAAAUUGGAAACAAAUAAGUGUCUGAAAACAGAAGAAUGGUUAAUUAGGUUAUGACAUAUUUGUUGAAAUAAUAACUAUUUUACACUAAAUUAGAUCGUGUUGCAACAGGGGAUAACUUACUGUACAAUCUCAAGUGAAAAAGGCUGAAAACACAAAUGCACUGUGUAAAGAUGUCUACACAUUUGCCAAGACUUAGGAGGAAAUAUGGGAAUAUGUAAUAGUCUGAUUUUUAAGUUUAUCUAUUAAUGUCACAAUGUUGUGUUUGCACAUAAUAAAGAUUUAAAAGAUUAAA